GUGUGUCCAUUCAACUACAUUCAGUCCGACUGUUCACCUGUUACUGAAACCAUGCUCCACUUCAGACUCAGCAGCACACUGUUAUUGGCAGUGACCUGUUCGCUCGUGACAGCAGACGUGUCCACAGAAACAGUUAUCACCUGUGACAAUGGCAACGACGUCCAACGGUGGUAUGACUGAACUCUAAAGGUGGUGAAUGCUACAUUUAAGCUGGAAGAUGUAAACAAACUGACCAAAUCAAUGUUGUGGGUUGAACAACCAUAUAGGUCGUUUUCUUUUUUUUUUUAAAUAACCCACAGGGGCGUGUCCUGAAAUAGCGCCGCUACGGUGCCCGGCGUAUCGAACCUCAGUUGUCAGGGUUACAAAAAUAAACAGGCGGAACGAGAGCGGUGUACGUAUCUUCGUUACCAUGGUUACUAUAAAACGGCCAUGGCUUGGUUAGGUUUAGGAAAAGAUCGUGAUUUGGGUUCACACAAGUACUUCCUCAAUAUUAGACCAUCUUUGUUGUCAUGGUUACAAUAAUAACAACGCGGUUAACUUUGUCGAACGGUCAUGAAUAAAAGAAACGACAUAAACUGCUACUUUCACAUGGGGAUAGAAAUCACCUCUUCCUGAUAUGGACUCGUCAUCGCACUUUCCUCUUUGUUCCUGCUGUAAUUCCUACGACCACUAGAUGUCGCCUAAUAACAAGACAUAACUACCACUGAGCAAGCAACGUCUGUGGACGUCCAAUUCUAGUUGAUAUCACGUCCGUCCGUCCAGGCCACAAUCUGGACGUCUAUAUGUGAGCCAGAACUAGUCGAUAACUGACAUUGAGUGAAGUAGUGCAGCCUGACCCAAUUUUGGACGUCUACUUACAGACAGAACUAGUUGAAAAUAGACGUUCUGACAGGCCACAAUCUGAACGUAUAUAUGACAGCCAGAACUAGUCGAUAAACGACCUGAGUGAAGUAGUCUAGCCUGGCCCAAUUUUGAACGUCUACUUACAGACAGAACUAGUUGAAAAUAGACGUUUAGAAAGGCCACAAUCUGGACGUCUAUAUGACAGCCAGAACUAGUCGAUAAACGACCUGAGUGAAGUAGUCCAGCCUGGCCCAAUUUUGGACGUCUAUAUUCAACCAGAACUAGUUGUAAUGAGACGUUCUGACCGACCACAAUCUGGACGUCUGUUUGACAGCCUGAAUUAGUUAAUAAAUGACACUGAGUGAAGUAGUCCAGCCUGGCCCAAUUAUGGACGUAUACCAAAAUUAGUUGAAAGCAGACGUUCCGACAGGCUGCAAUCUAAAGUCCAGUGAUGAACUGAGUUGGUAUAGAAUUCUGAGAGGCUAUCAUUUGGACAUAUUGAUAACCAUAAUCAGUUGGCACUAAUGCUGAGACUUUAAGGUUGACCAUAUCAGCAUGCCACAUACUGACAAGUUGAGAAAGAGGACAUCCAUUUUGACCAAAAAGAUCAAAGAAUAUGCCAGAUGGACAGGGAAAGGCUGGCUGGCUGGCUAGUGAAAUUGUCCUGACAGCUAUUUGUACCUUUGUUUCCUGGAUCACAGAUUACCUGACACAAUUCAGCCACAAUUUGUCAGGUUGGGGAACUGUGCUUCUCGGAGUCACAAAAACUGCCUUCUACUGAACACCUCAAAGACAAAGGAAAUGAUUGUGGAUUUCCGCAGGUCUAAGCCCCUUCUUCAGCCAGUGAACAUCUGUGGGGUGGACAUUGAGGUGGUGCACACCUACAAAUAUCUAGGGGUCAUCAUGGAUGAAGAUGGACUGGUCCCCUAAGACCGAUGCCCUCUACAGGAAGGGGCAGAUCCACCUGUUCUUCCUGCGGACACUGAGGUCCUUUGAUGUGUGUGUGGAGAUGAUGACCAUGUUCUACCACACGGUGGAGGCCAGUGCACUCUUCUUUGCUGCAGUGUGUUGGGGAGGCAGCCUUACAGACAAAAACACCAAGGGCUGGACAAGCUGGUCAAAAAAGCGGGCUCAGUGUUGGGCAGGAGUCUGGACCCACUAAGAUCUAUGGUGGAGAGGGGCACACUGAACAAACUGAAAGCUAUAAUGGACAAUAGCAGACACCCAGCCUCCUGGAGCAACAGAGGAGCAGAUGCAGCAGUCGUCUCCUCUCACUGCGCUGCAGAACGGAACAAUUCAGGAGAUCCUUUGUCCCCACAGCAAUAAGACUCCUCCUGAAUUUUUGGAUUUUUAAUAUUAACGUGCUAAUUUCUUUGUUCUAUGUCUUGAUGAGCUUCUGGAUUUCUGAAUUUGCCUUCGGGGAUGAAUAAAGUAUUUCUAUCUUUCUAUUUCUAUCAAUCUAUCACCAUGUGAUAUAGGCCUACAGGCCUACCUUUUAUCCAUGUGUGGGUUUAUGUUACUUGCAACUUGUUGCCAUGCAAAUAUAAUAGUAUUUUGAAUUCAAAAUCACAGUAAAGGCUAAUAUAAACAAGCCAAGACCUGAGUACCUGGAGAAAUAUAUAUAUUUUCAUCAUAAAUGUUGCAUUUUGGUGUAUUUCCAUCAGGUUUACUGUUACAAUUGUUGUAUAGGAGUUGGGAAACAAAUUCAGCAGAAAAAUUGGCUAGCUGGAACUUAAGUUAAUGAGUGCUUUAUUGUUAUAGUGCAUUUUUACAAGGCAAGGAUAAAAAGUUCCUUCGUUGCAUCUUAGAAAUGGUUUAAAUAUGGAUUCAUGUUAGCUUCUUUCAAAAGUGACCAGAAUAAUGAAUAUAGGCCAUAUGGUUGAUGAGUUAUUCCUGAUUUUUGCAGGUUUUGCCUCCGGAUUCAGAGAUUAAAAAAAACUUUUUCCCAUAAUUCUAUGCAGUAGAUUAAUCUAUCUAUACACAUAUUCCCCGUUUGUUAAUAAUAAUUUGUCAUUUUUUAUAGAAUAUCGAAUAUUUUUUAUUUAACAACUGUCUCUGUGGUUUGGUAUUUAAAACAUUUUUGGCUGUAAGGUCGUACAGUAUUAAUAAAGUUCGGUUGAAUUAACCAAUCACGUUCUUGUUACCAGACUGAUAUCCUUCCGCUGUGAAAGUAGUUCUACUUUAUAGUGGUGAUUAAUAAUUUAAUUGGGACUCGCAGUGGUUAACAUUGCCAUUAACGACAUAGUUCAACCUUUUAUGAAAUGACAUUGCUUUUUUAAUCGAGCCAACUUGCCAGGAAAUUUUUCUAUCUGUCGCACGGAUGGAUAUGAAGUCUGCAAGGAAUUGUACAAUCACGCAGUGGACUUGGCAGUUACUCGGCUCGGCAGUUAGCUCGGCAGUUACUCGGCUCGUGCAGAUCUUAAGGUCCACCUACUUCUCAGAAGCCCACGGAGAGCAGGUCCGGUGGUGGUAAGUAUUGCCAUUUGUUUUGUCUCUCAGCAGAGCACAGUGCACAGCCAAAGUCAU